ACUUAAAUUGAAGAGUUUGAUCAUGGCUCAGAUUGAACGCUGGCGGCAGGCCUAACACAUGCAAGUCGAGCGGUAGCACAGAGAGCUUGCUCUCGGGUGACGAGCGGCGGACGGGUGAGUAAUGUCUGGGAAACUGCCUGAUGGAGGGGGAUAACUACUGGAAACGGUAGCUAAUACCGCAUAACGUCGCAAGACCAAAGUGGGGGACCUUCGGGCCUCAUGCCAUCAGAUGUGCCCAGAUGGGAUUAGCUAGUAGGUGGGGUAACGGCUCACCUAGGCGACGAUCCCUAGCUGGUCUGAGAGGAUGACCAGCCACACUGGAACUGAGACACGGUCCAGACUCCUACGGGAGGCAGCAGUGGGGAAUAUUGCACAAUGGGCGCAAGCCUGAUGCAGCCAUGCCGCGUGUGUGAAGAAGGCCUUCGGGUUGUAAAGCACUUUCAGCGGGGAGGAAGGCGUUAAGGUUAAUAACCUUGUCGAUUGACGUUACCCGCAGAAGAAGCACCGGCUAACUCCGUGCCAGCAGCCGCGGUAAUACGGAGGGUGCAAGCGUUAAUCGGAAUUACUGGGCGUAAAGCGCACGCAGGCGGUCUGUCAAGUCGGAUGUGAAAUCCCCGGGCUCAACCUGGGAACUGCAUUCGAAACUGGCAGGCUAGAGUCUUGUAGAGGGGGGUAGAAUUCCAGGUGUAGCGGUGAAAUGCGUAGAGAUCUGGAGGAAUACCGGUGGCGAAGGCGGCCCCCUGGACAAAGACUGACGCUCAGGUGCGAAAGCGUGGGGAGCAAACAGGAUUAGAUACCCUGGUAGUCCACGCCGUAAACGAUGUCGAUUUGGAGGUUGUGCCCUUGAGGCGUGGCUUCCGGAGCUAACGCGUUAAAUCGACCGCCUGGGGAGUACGGCCGCAAGGUUAAAACUCAAAUGAAUUGACGGGGGCCCGCACAAGCGGUGGAGCAUGUGGUUUAAUUCGAUGCAACGCGAAGAACCUUACCUGGUCUUGACAUCCACAGAACUUUCCAGAGAUGGAUUGGUGCCUUCGGGAACUGUGAGACAGGUGCUGCAUGGCUGUCGUCAGCUCGUGUUGUGAAAUGUUGGGUUAAGUCCCGCAACGAGCGCAACCCUUAUCCUUUGUUGCCAGCGGUCCGGCCGGGAACUCAAAGGAGACUGCCAGUGAUAAACUGGAGGAAGGUGGGGAUGACGUCAAGUCAUCAUGGCCCUUACGACCAGGGCUACACACGUGCUACAAUGGCAUAUACAAAGAGAAGCGACCUCGCGAGAGCAAGCGGACCUCAUAAAGUAUGUCGUAGUCCGGAUUGGAGUCUGCAACUCGACUCCAUGAAGUCGGAAUCGCUAGUAAUCGUAGAUCAGAAUGCUACGGUGAAUACGUUCCCGGGCCUUGUACACACCGCCCGUCACACCAUGGGAGUGGGUUGCAAAAGAAGUAGGUAGCUUAACCUUCGGGAGGGCGCUUACCACUUUGUGAUUCAUGACUGGGGUGAAGUCGUAACAAGGUAACCGUAGGGGAACCUGCGGUUGGAUCACCUCCUUACCUUAAAGAA
rnacentral:rRNA from 3 species